UGAGGAAUAUUGGACAAUGGGCGCAAGCCUGAUCCAGCCAUGCCGCGUGCAGGAUGACGGUCCUAUGGAUUGUAAACUGCUUUUGUACGGGAAGAAACCACUCUUCGUGAAGAGUAUUGACGGUACCGUAAGAAUAAGGAUCGGCUAACUCCGUGCCAGCAGCCGCGGUAAUACGGAGGAUCCAAGCGUUAUCCGGAAUCAUUGGGUUUAAAGGGUCCGUAGGCGGUUUUAUAAGUCAGUGGUGAAAUCCGGCAGCUCAACUGUCGAACUGCCAUUGAUACUGUAGAACUUGAAUUACUGUGAAGUAACUAGAAUAUGUAGUGUAGCGGUGAAAUGCUUAGAUAUUACAUGGAAUACCGAUUGCGAAGGCAGGUUACUAACAUUAUAUUGACGCUGAUGGACGAAAGCGUGGGGAGCGAACAGGAUUAGAUACCCUGGUAGUCCACGCCGUAAACGAUGGAUACUAGCUGUUUGGUCGUAAGACUGAGUGGCUAAGCGAAA
rnacentral:rRNA from 1 species